CACGGAGGUUGGUCCAGGGUGCAGCGCAGCCUGAGGCUCUGUGCGGGAUGCGCGGCCGUCUUGGAGGGAGCGGACCCAGGCUGGCUGAAGAAGCUCAGGGAGAAGCAGCCUUGAAAUGCUGUCCUUCUCUGAUGUGGCCAUCGAGUUCUCUCCAGAAGAGAGGGAAUGUCUGGAGCCUGCUCAGUGGAAUCUGUACAGGGAUGUGAUGCUGGAGAAUUAUAGCCACCUUGAGUUCCUGGGUCUUGCUGUUUCUAAACCACACCUGGUGACAUUUCUGGAGCAAAGACAAGGGCCUUCAAGCGGAAAGAGACAAGCAGCAGCUAACGUGC